AUGCAACGCGAAGAACCUUACCAGGGUUUGACAUGAUACGAAUUUCUUUGAAAGAAGAAAGUGCCGUUUGGAGCGUAUACCCAGGUGGUGCAUGGCUGUCGUCAGCUCGUGUCGUGAGAUGUUGGGUUAAGUCCCGCAACGAGCGCAACCCUUGUUUUUAGUUGCCUUUUAAGGAACUCUAGAAAGACUGCCGGUUAUAAACCGGAGGAAGGCGGGGAUGACGUCAAGUCAGCAUGCCCCUUACACCCUGGGCUACACACGUGCUACAUUGGGCGAGACAAUGAGAUGCAACUCUGUGAAGAUUAGCUAAUCUAUAACCUCGUUCUAAGUUCGGAUUGUAGGCUGCAACUCGCCUACAUGAAGGUGGAAUCGCUAGUAAUCGCUGGUCAGCUACACAGCGGUGAAUCCGUUCCCGGGCCUUGUACACACCGCCCGUCACA
rnacentral:rRNA from 1 species